UACUGGGCGUACAGGGUCCGCAGGGGGUUUGCCGAAGUCCGAUGUGAACGUCCGCAGGUCAACUGGGGAACUGCGUCGGAUACUGGUGAACUUGAGUGCGCGAAUGGCGACCGGAAGUCCAGGUGUAGCGGUGGAAUGCGUAGAUAUCUGGAAGAACACCGGAGGCGAAAGCGGCUCGCUGGCGCGCCACUGACCCUCAUGGACUAACGCGUGGAGAGCGAACAGGAUUAGAUACCCUGGUAGUCCACGCUGUACACGGUGCAGACUCGAUGCGGGGGGCGGUCCCCUCCGUGUCUAAGCCCACGCGUUAAGUGAUCCGCCUGGGGACUACGGCCGCAAGGCUAAAACUCAAACGGCAUUGACGGGAGGCCCGCACAAGCAGGUGGAGCAUAUGGCUUGAUUCGAGCCUACACGAAGAACCUUACCCAGGGCUUGACAUAUUCCGGACCGCCUGUGAAAACAGAUUUUCCCUUCGGGGACCGGUAUACAGGUGCAGCAUGGCUGUCGUCAGCUCGGGCCGAGAGGUGUUCGGUUAAGUCCGGCAACGAGCGCAACCCGUAUCGUCAGUUGCCAUCAGGUAAUGAUGGGCACUCGGGCGAGACUGCCCGCGUCAAGCGGGAGGAAGGCGCGGAAGACCUCAAGUCCGUAUGGCCAUAACGCCCGGGCAUGCACACGUGCUACAAUGGGCGGUACAGUGGGAAGCGGAAACCGCGAGGUGAAGAGAAUCCCCAAAACCGCCCCCAGUUCGGAUCGGAGUCUGCAAUUCGACUCCGUGAAGUCGGAAUGCGCUAGUAAAGGCGCAUCAGCAACGG
rnacentral:rRNA from 1 species